UACAGGGGUUGCAAGCGUUGUUCGAAAUUAUUGGGCGUAAAGCGCACGUAGGUUGUGAAGUAAGUCUUGUGUGAAAGCUCCGGGCUCAACCCGGAAAAUGCAUGGGAUACUACUUUGCUUGAGGAUGUGAGAGGAUAGCGGAAUUCCCAGUGUAGUGGUGAAAUACGUAGAUAUUGGGAGGAACACCGGAGGCGAAAGCGGCUAUCUGGCACAUUUCUGACGCUGAGGUGCGAAAGCGUGGGUAGCAAACAGG
rnacentral:rRNA from 1 species